AUUGAACGCUGGCGGCAGGCCUAACACAUGCAAGUCGAACGGUAACAGGAAGAAGCUUGCUUCUUUGCUGACAAGUGGCGGACGGGUGAGUAAUGUCUGGGAAACUGCCUGAUGGAGGGGGAUAACUACUGGAAACGGUAGCUAAUACCGCAUAACGUCGCAAGACCAAAGAGGGGGACCUUCGGGCCUCUUGCCAUCGAAUGUGCCCCGAUGGGAUUAGCUAGUAGGUGGGGUAACGGCUCACCUAGGCGACGAUCCCUAGCUGGUCUGAGAGGAGGACCAGCCACACUGGAACUGAGACACGGUCCCGACUCCUACGGGAGGCAGCAGUGGGGAAUAUUGCACAAUGGGCGCGAGCCUGAUGCAGCCAUGGCGCGUGUAUGAAGAAGGCCUUCGUGUUGUAAAGUACUUUCCGCGGGGAGGAAGGGAGUAAAGUUAAUACCUUUGCUCAUUGACGUUACCCGAAGAAGAAGCACCGGCUAACUCCGUG
rnacentral:rRNA from 1 species